rnacentral:rRNA from 1 species
GGUAAACGCUGGCGGCGUGCCUAAAACAUGCAAGUCGCACGCAACCUUCGGGUUGAGUGGCAGACGGCUGAGUAACGCGUGGGUGACAUACCCAUUGGUGGGGAAUAACUGCCCGAAAGGGUGGCUAAUACCGCAUACGUCUAGAGCUUCGUGGUUCUAGGGAAAGCAGUGAUGUGCCGAUGGAGUGGCCCGCGUCCGAUUAGCCAGUUGGUGGGGUAACGGCCUACCAAAGCGACGAUCGGUAGCUGGUCUCAGAGGAUGAUCAGCCAGACUGGGA